rnacentral:rRNA from 1 species
GAUGAACGCUGGCGGCGUGCCUAAUACAUGCAAGUCGAGCGAACGGACGAGAAGCUUGCUUCUCUGAUGUUAGCGGCGGACGGGUGAGUAACACGUGGAUAACCUACCUAUAAGACUGGGAUAACUUCGGGAAACCGGAGCUAAUACCGGAUAAUAUUUUGAACCGCAUGGUUCAAAAGUGAAAGACGGUCUUGCUGUCACUUAUAGAUGGAUCCGCGCUGCAUUAGCUAGUUGGUAAGGUAACGGCUUACCAAGGCAACGAUGCAUAGCCGACCUGAGAGGGUGAUCGGCCACACUGGAACUGAGACACGGUCCAGACUCCUACGGGAGGCAGCAGUAGGGAAUCUUCCGCAAUGGGCGAAAGCCUGACGGAGCAACGCCGCGUGAGUGAUGAGGGUCUUCGGAUCGUAAAACUCUGUUAUUAGGGAAGAACAUAUGUGUAAGUAACUGUGCACAUCUUGACGGUACCUAAUCAGAAAGCCACGGCUAACUACGUGCCAGCAGCCGCGGUAAUACGUAGGUGGCAAGCGUUAUCCGGAAUUAUUGGGCGUAAAGCGCGCGUAGGCGGUUUUUUAAGUCUGAUGUGAAAGCCCACGGCUCAACCGUGGAGGGUCAUUGGAAACUGGAAAACUUGAGUGCAGAAGAGGAAAGUGGAAUUCCAUGUGUAGCGGUGAAAUGCGCAGAGAUAUGGAAGAACACCAGUGGCGAAGGCGACUUUCUGGUCUGUAACUGACGCUGAUGUGCGAAAGCGUGGGGAUCAAACAGGAUUAGAUACCCUGGUAGUCCACGCCGUAAACGAUGAGUGCUAAGUGUUAGGGGGUUUCCGCCCCUUAGUGCUGCAGCUAACGCAUUAAGCACUCCGCCUGGGGAGUACGACCGCAAGGUUGAAACUCAAAGGAAUUGACGGGGACCCGCACAAGCGGUGGAGCAUGUGGUUUAAUUCGAAGCAACGCGAAGAACCUUACCAAAUCUUGACAUCCUUUGACAACUCUAGAGAUAGAGCCUUCCCCUUCGGGGGACAAAGUGACAGGUGGUGCAUGGUUGUCGUCAGCUCGUGUCGUGAGAUGUUGGGUUAAGUCCCGCAACGAGCGCAACCCUUAAGCUUAGUUGCCAUCAUUAAGUUGGGCACUCUAAGUUGACUGCCGGUGACAAACCGGAGGAAGGUGGGGAUGACGUCAAAUCAUCAUGCCCCUUAUGAUUUGGGCUACACACGUGCUACAAUGGACAAUACAAAGGGCAGCGAAACCGCGAGGUCAAGCAAAUCCCAUAAAGUUGUUCUCAGUUCGGAUUGUAGUCUGCAACUCGACUACAUGAAGCUGGAAUCGCUAGUAAUCGUAGAUCAGCAUGCUACGGUGAAUACGUUCCCGGGUCU